AUUUGUACUUAGUUUUAGCUUCCAAACUGUAGCUCUUAGGUCCUUAUGUUAUUUUUUGACUAUUUGCGGACCAUCUACAAAUUGUCCAAAAAUAACAUAAGGAACUAAGAGCUACAGUUCCGCAGCUAACUUAAUUCUUAUGUAUUUUUAUUAAAACAUUGAAAUCCAAUGCAUGCAUCAUUAGUUAUAUACAUUGUACAUGCACAUUUAUUAUUUAAGGUUAUCAGACAGAUUUCUCAUUGAAUAUUCAAAUCAUUAAGGAAAUAUUUUUGACUUAGUAAGUAAACAAAAUAUUGUUAUGAUAUUUUUUAUUAUUCUAUAUUUGAAUAUUUUAAUAUUGAACUAUCUGGAAGGAAUUUUAUCCAUUGUAUAUAAUUUUAAUUUUGAAGACAAUUUAUAGUACAUGUUUUUGUUUUGGGGGAUCCGGGAAAGAAUAUUUUUUUAUUUUUAGGAAGUCGGGAUCAACCAAUUAUUAUCCCUGGAAUUUGGGAUGUCAUCCUCUCCUAUCCCCUCCCCUUUUUUGUAGGAAUUGGAGAUUGGAAGUAUGGUAAUAUUUUGCAUAAAUUGUAAAUAAAACAAUUUUUUUUCUACAAGAUAAAGGGAUCUGACUAUUUUCUACAAGAUAAAGGGAUCUGACUAUUUUCUACAAGAUAAAGGGAUCUGACUACUCUUAAAUGAUCUGAAUUGUAUAUUUGUUAUUAAUAAGUAACAUUGGUAUGUGUAUUUUUUCUGUCACAAUUGCAGACUUUCCAAGUGAUAAAUCUUGGAAAACAUGUAUAUGUUAGGGAGGUCCAGAGAAGCAAGUUAUAAGUCAUGUUGCUUCUCUGGACGUCUCAAACAAGUUUUAAAAUUCUUGGUGCUAAUUUCUUCAUGUGUGAUACUCAAACUGUCUAACUAUAUAUUUAAAUGUAGGCCAGAAUGCUGUACAUGUAACUAACUUACUAUUUGUGCAUAGGUAGAAAUACUGACAUACUUUAAAUAUGUUGCAGUAAUACGGACCUAUGUUAAAUACCAGUAAAUUGGGAUUCAUUUAUUAUCAAAGGUACCAAUUUUCGUGGAUAUAGAAAACUUACAUGUCCGUUAAUAUUUUGUUUUGUGGAUAGUGGAAAACUUACAUGUUCUUGGAUAUUUGAUUUCGUGGUUUUUCCAAAAUCUGCAUAUUACCUGAUAGAAAAUUUGUAAUUCAUUUAAUAUUGAAUUUCUUGGUUCACCUGUACCCUUGAAAUCCACGAAAAAAAUAGUAUCCAACAAAUAAUAAAGAAUCCUAUGUAUGUGGCAGAAAUACUAACCUAUUUUAAAUAUGUUGCAGUAAUACUGACCUAUAUAAAUAUGGACCAGUUAUUACUGUCCUAUUUUUAAGGGCCAGUUAAACUGACUUGCUAAUUAUAUGUGGAGGCCAAAAUGCUGACAAUGUAUUGCUUAUACAUUUAUAAUACUCAAAAUGUGCCAAAUAUCUUAAUGAUAGAAAACUAGAAAAAAUAAUAAACUUAUUUGAUAUUUUAAUGUGUUUUCUUCAACAUUUAUCAAACUUAUUCAGCUAAAAUUAAGAGAUGUCAGACCGUGC
rnacentral:lncRNA from 1 species